rnacentral:rRNA from 1 species
CUUGAUCUCAAGAGUGACGGGCGAUUUGUGCAUGUUUUUUUACUAAUUCAAAUCAAAUAAAUUUCUUUUGAUUUUAAUUUUAAGUCCUUUUUCCUUUUUGUUUCAAUUUUAUUCCUGUUAUUUUUGUAUUUGUAUCCCGCACAAUCUUUAAAUAUAUCCUCUGUACUGAUUUGUUUUACUUUUAAGUAAGAUUUCAAUUAUAUUUUUAUUUUUAAUUUUUAAACAAUGAUAUAGAGGGUUAUUAUCAAAGUUUAUUCAAUCGUGGGUUAUCUAUUAAUUUGUAGGAUCCCCUAGUUAGGAUAAACACCGCCAUAUUUCUUAGAUUUUUUUUUAUUUAAAUACUAUCUUCUCUUUUCUUAGAA